GACGAACGCUGGCGGCGUGCUUAACACAUGCAAGUCGAACGGAAAGGCCCUGCUUGCAGGGUACUCGAGUGGCGAACGGGUGAGUAACACGUGGGUGAUCUGCCCUGCACUUCGGGAUAAGCCUGGGAAACUGGGUCUAAUACCGGAUAGGAGCCAUUUUUAGUGUGAUGGUUGGAAAGUUUUUUCGGUGUAGGAUGAGCUCGCGGCCUAUCAGCUUGUUGGUGGGGUAAUGGCCUACCAAGGCGGCGACGGGUAGCCGGCCUGAGAGGGUGGACGGCCACAUUGGGACUGAGAUACGGCCCAGACUCCUACGGGAGGCAGCAGUGGGGAAUAUUGCACAAUGGGCGCAAGCCAGAUGCAGCGACGCCGCGUGGGGGAUGACGGCCUUCGGGUUGUAAACUCCUUUCGCUAGGGACGAAGCUUUUUGUGACGGUACCUAGAUAAGAAGCACCGGCUAACUACGUG
rnacentral:rRNA from 1 species